GCUAACGUUUUAUCGGUUUCACAAGUGUCAUUGGUGUCAGUUUGAUUAAGUUAUGUUAUUGUUUGAUUUUUCGCGUUCAAAACUCCAAUUUAACUGUCGUGUACCGUGGUACCUGUCGCUCGCUUGAACGUAAACGUUCCACCAUGCCAAAGCCCUUGUACAAAGAUGCAAAGUAAAUGGUCGCUAAUUUAGUGAACUAUUUUUCUAAAAAACGCGAUAACGGGGGACCUCCUUUACCACUACCAGCUGUUCAAGACAGGGUUGCUGCUACUCUAGGUGUAUGUGUGCGAAAAGUGAACUGCGUGGUACAGCAAAUAAAAAUCGGAGAAAGUGUACAUUCUCCCAAGAAAUAGAGACCCCCGAACAAAGCAAGUGUGUGAUCUUCGGAGCAGUGUGCUAUUCGAGAAUUCUUAUAUGGAAUGGUCGAAAAAAAAAAUACAUGUUACACGAUCGUCAUUACUUAAUUGCUUGAAGGAGAAACAUAUAUUUGAGGGUUCUCUGAGCUCGUUAGGAAGAAUUUUACAUUCUCUAUUGGGUUUCAUUAUUCUCCAACAAGUGUACGGAAGAGUCUUAUGGAAUUACAUGUUAUUCAUGCAAGAACCAAAUUCUUACGUGAAUACAUGCACAAUCAGCAGAAGCCAAAUCCUUUGCCAUGUGAUCUUGAUGAAACAUGGAUAUUUGAAAAUGGUUCGGUAAUUAGGUCCAUGGCAAGACGAUAGUGUCAAAAGUAUCAGGACGUUCAAAAUAGAAGGGAAAAGUAUAUUGUAUUACAUGUAGGUACAAGCAAUGGAUUUAUUGAUGAAGCUGUGCUGGUAUUUUCUUCUAAUACCAAAAAUCUAGACUAUCAUGGCGAAAUGAAUGAACAGAAUUUUCUCAAGUGGUUUCAGUUACUCAUGAAUCUUGAAGAACCGUCAUUGAUUAUUAUAAACAAUGCAAGCUACCACAUUACCCUUGCAAACAAAUGUCCCAAUGGUUCAUGGAAAAAAGCAGAAAUUCGUGAAUGGCUUUAACAUCAUGACAUAAGUUCAGAUCCACAGCUGUUAAAAACGGAACUUCAUCAUUUGGUUGCACAAAAUAAACAUCCAAAAACGUAUGUUGCCGUGAAUUGGGCCAACAGAAUGGCCGUGUUUAACCCUAUAGAAAAUAUUUGGGGAAUUACUACAAAUUAUUAUUCCAAACACAUUGGGCGUGGUCGUUAUGGUCAAACAAAAUUCCGUGGAAAUGUGGAAAGAAGCGUUAGCACAUGUCACGCCCACAAUGUGGAAAAAUACUGUUGACCAUAUGGAUAAAAUAAUACGGGAGUGGUGAGAACGGGAAUUAUUAUUUGACCGUGAAGAGAUUGCGCCGUUUAUAAUCGACAUUAACGAAGAUUCAGAUUAUAGUUUUAGUAAUUAUGACAGUGAAGAUUCUAAUACUGCAGAGGGCAUUCAGCCACUGUAACAUGUAGGUUAUUUUCCAUUACCAUCCUAAUUGAUUGUACUAGCGGCAUGUUCUGCUGAUGUCUUUUAUAAUCACACUAUCACUUCACUGGCCAAAUAUACAGAUCACUGGUCAGACGAAGACGUUGUGCAACAUCAAUAGUUAUUAUUGUUUAUAGUUUACUUUUGUAUCUAUUCCAUGUCAAUAAUAGUAUAUUAUUUGACAAGCGCAUAAUGUAGCAUAUUAUUCACGAGGAUGAAAAUUACACACGAGCCGCAGGCGAGUGUGUAAAUCAUCCGUGUGAAUAAUAGCCAUUAUGCGCUAGUUAAAUACGACGUUUUAUCUACGACUCUAAACAAAUUAUACACGUUUCACAAAUAAUAAUUUAUUUCAGAAACAAUAAACAAAACAAAUAAGUAAUUAAUUAUUA